UACGUAGGGUGCAGGCGUUAAUCGGAAUUACUGGGCGUAAAGCGUGCGCAGGCGGUCUUUUAAGUCAGAUGUGAAAUCCCCGGGCUUAACCUGGGAACUGCGUUUGAAACUGGAAGGCUUGAGUGUGGCAGAGGGGGGUGGAAUUCCACGUGUAGCAGUGAACUGCGUAGAGAUGUGGAGGAACACCGAUGGCGAAGGCAGCCCCCUGGGCUAACACUGACGCUCAUGCACGAAAGCGUGGGGAGCAAACAGG
rnacentral:rRNA from 1 species